UACGGAGGGAGCUAGCGUUGUCCGGAUUUAUUGGGUUUAAAGGGUGCGUAGGCGGUUCUUUAAGUCCGGGGUGAAAGCCCACUGCUCAACAGUGGAACUGCCCUGGAAACUGGAGAACUUGAGUACAGACGAGGGCGGCGGAAUGGAUGGUGUAGCGGUGAAAUGCAUAGAUACCGCCAAGAACCCCGAUUGCGUAGGCAGCUGACUAGGCUGGUACUGACACUGAGGCACGAAAGCGUGGGGAGCGAACAGG
rnacentral:rRNA from 1 species